rnacentral:rRNA from 1 species
UACGUAGGGGGCGAGCGUUGUCCGAAGUUACUGGGCGUAAAGGGCGCGUAGGCGGCCGCCUAAGUCAGACGUGAAAUCCCUCGGCUCAACCGGGGAACUGCGUCUGAUACUGGGUGGCUUGAAUCCGGGAGAGGGAUGCGGAAUUCCAGGUGUAGCGGUGAAAUGCGUAGAUAUCUGGAGGAACACCGGUGGCGAAGGCGGCAUCCUGGACCGGCAUUGACGCUGAGGCGCGAAAGCCAGGGGAGCAAACGGG